UCCGGUUUGGCACCGGCAGUCCUCCCAGAGUCCCCGACUUCACUCGCUGGCAACUGGGAGCGGGGGUUGCGCUCGUUGCGGGACUUAACCCAACAUUUCACGACACGAGCUGACGACAGCCAUGCAGCACCUGUGCUGGCGCUCCGAAGAGGGGCCGAUGUUUCCACCGGCUUGCACCAGCAUGUCAAGCCCAGGUAAGGUUCUUCGCGUUGCUUCGAAUUAAACCACAUGCUCCACCGCUUGUGUGAGCCCCCGUCAAUUCCUUUGAGUUUUAGCCUUGCGGCCGUACUCCCCAGGCGGGGCACUUAAUGCGUUAGCUGCGGCACGGAAACCGUCGAUAGGUCCCCACACCUAGUGCCCAACGUUUACGGCGUGGACUAC
rnacentral:misc_RNA from 1 species